rnacentral:rRNA from 1 species
AAAAUCCGGAAAAUCAAGGCUGAGGCGUGAUGACGAGGCACUACGGUGCUGAAGCAACAAAUGCCCUGCUUCCAGGAAAAGCCUCUAAGCAUCAGGUAACAUCAAAUCGUACCCCAAACCGACACAGGUGGUCAGGUAGAGAAUACCAAGGCGCUUGAGAGAACUCGGGUGAAGGAACUAGGCAAAAUGGUGCCGUAACUUCGGGAGAAGGCACGCUGAUAUGUAGGUGAGGUCCCUCGCGGAUGGAGCUGAAAUCAGUCGAAGAUACCAGCUGGCUGCAACUGUUUAUUAAAAACACAGCACUGUGCAAACACGAAAGUGGACGUAUACGGUGUGACGCCUCCCCGGUGCCGGAAGGUUAAUUGAUGGGGUUAGCGCAAGCGAAGCUCUUGAUCGAAGCCCCGGUAAACGGCGGCCGUAACAAUAACGGUCCUAAGGUAGCGAAAUUCCUUGUCGGGUAAGUUCCGACCUGCACGAAUGGCGUAAUGAUGGCCAGGCUGUCUCCACCCGAGACUCAGUGAAAUUGAACUCGCUGUGAAGAUGCAGUGUACCCGCGGCAAGACGGAAAGACCCCGUGAACCUUUACUAUAGCUUGACACUGAACAUUGAGCCUUGAUGUGUAGGAUAGGUGGGAGGCUUUGAAGUGUGGACGCCAGUCUGCAUGGAGCCGACCUUGAAAUACCACCCUUUAAUGUUUGAUGUUCUAACGUUGACCCGUAAUCCGGGUUGCGGACAGUGUCUGGUGGGUAGUUUGACUGGGGCGGUCUCCUCCUAAAGAGUAACGGAGGAGCACGAAGGUUGGCUAAUCCUGGUCGGACAUCAGGAGGUUAGUGCAAUGGCAUAAGCCAGCUUGACUGCGAGCGUGACGGCGCGAGCAGGUGCGAAAGCAGGUCAUAGUGAUCCGGUGGUUCUGAAUGGAAGGGCCAUCGCUCAACGGAUAAAAGGUACUCCGGGGAUAACAGGCUGAUACCGCCCAAGAGUUCAUAUCGACGGCGGUGUUUGGCACCUCGAUGUCGGCUCAUCACAUCCUGGGGCUGAAGUAGGUCCCAAGGGUAUGGCUGUUCGCCAUUUAAAGUGGUACGCGAGCUGGGUUUAGAACGUCGUGAGACAGUUCGGUCCCUAUCUGCCGUGGGCGCUGGAGAACUGAGGGGGGCUGCUCCUAGUACGAGAGGACCGGAGUGGACGCAUCACUGGUGUUCGGGUUGUCAUGCCAAUGGCACUGCCCGGUAGCUAAAUGCGGAAGAGAUAAGUGCUGAAAGCAUCUAAGCACGAAACUUGCCCCGAGAUGAGUUCUCCCUGACCCUUUAAGGGUCCUGAAGGAACGUUGAAGACGACGACGUUGAUAGGCCGGGUGUGUAAGCGCAGCGAUGCGUUGAGCUAACCGGUACUAAUGAACCGCGAGGCUUAACC